rnacentral:rRNA from 1 species
CUACAGGCUUAACACAUGCAAGUCGAGGGGAAACGACAUCGAAAGCUUACUUUUGAUGGGCGUCGACCGGCGCACGGGUGAGUAACGCGUAUCCAACCUGCCCACCACUUGGGGAUAACCUUGCGAAAGUAAGACUAAUACCCAAUGAUAUCCCACGAAGGCAUCCGAAUGGGAUUAAAGAUUUAUCGGUGAUGGAUGGGGAUGCGUCUGAUUAGCUUGUUGGCGGGGUAACGGCCCACCAAGGCGACGAUCAAUAGGGGUUCUGAGAGGAAGGUCCCCCACAUUGGAACUGAGACACGGUCCAAACUCCUACGGGAGGCAGCAGUGAGGAAUAUUGGUCAAUGGGCGAGAGCCUGAACCAGCCAAGUAGCGUGCAGGAUGACGGCCCUAUGGGUUGUAAACUGCUUUUAUAAGGGAAUAAAGUGGGUCUCGUGAGACUUUUUGCAUGUACCUUAUGAAUAAGGACCGGCUAAUUCCGUGCCAGCAGCCGCGGUAAUACGGAAGGUCCGGGCGUUAUCCGGAUUUAUUGGGUUUAAAGGGAGCGUAGGCCGGAGAUUAAGCGUGUUGUGAAAUGUAGACGCUCAACGUCUGCAGUGCAGCGCGAACUGGUUUCCUUGAGUACGCACAAAGUGGGCGGAAUUCGUGGUGUAGCGGUGAAAUGCUUAGAUAUCACGAAGAACUCCGAUUGCGAAGGCAGCUCACGGGAGCGCAACUGACGCUGAAGCUUGAAAGUGCGGGUAUCGAACAGGAUUAGAUACCCUGGUAGUCCGCACGGUAAACGAUGGAUGCCCGCUGUUGGUCUGAAUAGGUCAGCGGCCAAGCGAAAGCAUUAAGCAUCCCACCUGGGGAGUACGCCGGCAACGGUGAAACUC